rnacentral:rRNA from 1 species
AGCGUUUGACAUCUUAGGAAAGAGAUAGAGAUAUUUCAGUGUCCCUUCGGGGAAACCUAAAGACAGGUGGUGCAUGGCU